rnacentral:rRNA from 1 species
AUUGAACGCUGGCGGAAUGCUUUACACAUGCAAGUCGAACGGCAGCACGGGUGCUUGCACCUGGUGGCGAGUGGCGAACGGGUGAGUAAUACAUCGGAACGUACCCAGUCGUGGGGGAUAACGUAGCGAAAGUUACGCUAAUACCGCUUACGUCCUGAGGGAGAAAGCGGGGGACCGUAAGGCCUCGCGCGAUUGGAGCGGCCGAUGGCGGAUUAGCUAGUUGGUGGGGUAAAGGCCUACCAAGGCGACGAUCCGUAGCGGGUCUGAGAGGACGGCCCGCCACACUGGAACUGAGACACGGUCCAGACUCCUACGGGAGGCAGCAGUGGGGAAUUUUGGACAAUGGGCGAAAGCCUGAUCCAGCCAUUCCGCGUGAGUGAAGAAGGCCUUCGGGCUGUAAAGCUCUUUCGGCAGGGAAGAAACGGCUUGGGAUAAUACCCCGGGCUAAUGACGGUACCUGAAGAAGAGGCACCGGCUAACUACGUGCCAGCAGCCGCCGUAA